AGACUCCGGCACCCAGCCCGGCACCCUGGGGCUCUCGCCCUCGCUCCCCUGCGCUGCCUGGCACCGCCUGGGCAGGCCGAUCCGUUCUUUCCAAGCAGAGAAAGACGUGGUGGGGAAAAAAGUUUGCAACUCUUGACACCUGCACCCAGAUAAAGCUCUGGAGCCUUUGGGAAGGGGAGCAAGCGUUGGCGAUUCACUGCUUUCCCCCUUCAUUGCAAAAGCCUCUCGCACAUGCAAACUUUCCCCAGAACUGCACGUGAAACCUAUGCUCCUUCGCUUGCCCUCCCUCUGGUGGAGAGUUCUGGAGAGCAGUGAAAUCGGGAGCGCUUUGCCUCCCAGCUGCAAGGGACACGGAGUUAACGACCAGAGGAAUCCGCACCACGGAAUGAUCCAGAGUCGUCUGUAUGUAAAGAAAACACUCUCAUAGUUAGACCACAGCUGUGGCGAACUUAGACUGGUUCACUUGCAGUGAUGCACUCUUGUGUUAUGGUCAGGAAGCGGUGAGUAGGAACAAUCCAUAUUUAAGAUCUUCUACUCCGCUUUAAAAGUGACUCGCUCCUGAUUUUCCGGUCUCUGGGGUUAAUGCUAUGUGAACCCUUACCUUCUUCACUGGAUUUUCUAAUUGCCACACUUUAAAUAAAGGCGAAGACUUGGGUGUCUUCUUCUUGGGUAGGUGGGCAGGAAGGGGCGUGUAAAAAUGCUCAUCUUAAAACUGUCCUAAAAUAAGAAUAAUCUUGUUCUGGUUUAAUUUGCAUUGACAUAGAACCAAACUCUGUUGAGCGGGUUUAAUUGUUAAAAGCUAUCAUAGCAGUACUGCCAUUAUUAUUUAUUUUUUAGAAGUCUGAAUAUCUUCUGAUAACCUUCCUACAGACACCGUGUAUAAUUUUCACUGGGUCAUGAAAACAGCAAAAGCAGAGAAAAGAUUAGGCAUAUUUGUUAGUAGCACUAUUAAUAUUCCACAGGGUCGAAUGUAAGAUGGAGUGUGGAUGUUGGCUGAAAUAACUCUGUUUUCCCAGGAGGGGGCCAACUGCUCAGGAAGCAGAAAACAGCAAAAUUCAGAAAAGUCCUUUCAAAAAGGAUACUUUGUCUCAAGGAUAUAAAACAGUGUAAGGGCUUAGCCACAUGUUAUUAGACAAAUCAUUUUAGAAUUGAAGAACUUAAAACAAUCUUGGAAUUAAAAAAAAAAUUAAGAUCUUCCUAAAUAAGCUAGUUGUAAAAACCCAUACCUAUGGAAUUCUACCUAUAAUUUAGUUACUUUUGUUUUGGGUCUAGAUGUUUCACUUCACAAAACAGCUUAUUAUUAGUUAUAGUCAUUUUUCAGUGAGGGUAGUGGAAAAACCUACAAAUUUGUGAUAAACUUUUAUUUGGAUGAACCUAUAGGGGGAGUUGACAAUCUUCCAAAACUAAGCAUAAAUGACUACAAAAAAAGAGUACUGAUAUUGUAGUACCUUUAAAAUAAAACAUGCCUGUAGUACCUUUAAAAUAAAACAUUCCUAUGGACAUUUUAAGGCUGGGGAAUGAAUAACUAUAAAGAGAGGAAGGUGAGUAUAGGUGAGCACUUAAUAACUGCUUUUCCUUAGUUUGAUGGGCUAGAGAAGGGGGAGGGAGGACAAAAAUCUCAAUGGUAACUGUUGAAGGAACUUUGAAGAAAGAUGGUGGAGCUUUCUGGAACUAUUCCAGAUUCAGGAAUACAUUUCACUUGCCAAUUGCAGCUGAAUUGAUCAGGAAAUUCACUGCAAAAUCUAAAAAAAAGUUUUUCCUACUAAUAUAUUGUUUAAAUGUCUUUAUUCUUUAUGUUAUUUAAUGUGGAUUAUAAGGGGCUUAUUUUAUUACAUCAUUUAUGACCAGCUAAAAAUUGACCAAAUAAAAUUCCGUAUCUUGGAUAGUUGAAACAUUUA